rnacentral:rRNA from 1 species
UACGAAGGGUGCAAGCGUUACUCGGAAUUACUGGGCGUAAAGCGUGCGUAGGUGGUGGUUUAAGUCUGUUGUGAAAGCCCUGGGCUCAACCUAGGAAUUGCAGUGGAUACUGGGUCACUAGAGUGUGGUAGAGGGUAGCGGAAUUCCCGGUGUAGCAGUGAAAUGCGUAGAGAUCGGGAGGAACAUCCGUGGCGAAGGCGGCUACCUGGACCAACACUGACACUGAGGCA